CAGAGGAGGAUAUGAAGACGAGAAAACUUUGUGAAAGCCCCCGAGCUGAGAAGAGAUACUGUAUGAGGAUCAUACUGUUUGUUGUGUGUGUGUGUGUGUGUGUGUGUGUGUGUGUGUGUGUGUGUGUGUGUGUGUGUGUGUGUGUGUGUGUGUGUGUGUGUGUGUGUGUGUGUGUUUCCAGAUAUAACAGAUGUACAACACAUUCAGUUGGUGGUUUGUCAUCCAUAAAUCUGCUUGUCUCUGUGACAGCUCUGCUUAGAGUUCAGCUCUGAGGUGUAAAUCUACAUUUAGAGGUUUCAUCAGCUGAAUAUCUCAGGAGAUUACCACCCACUUAUUUACAGUAACAAUAUUUAUGGAUCUCUGACAACAACUCAACAUUUCAUUAUGUUUGUGACACUUAAAGACGCCUCACCCAAACCAAAACCAAAGCUGAUGUGUUUGUGACUGUUUUUAUAGAAUUACAGUCUUUUUGAAACAUGGAGAGAAACAGUGAAUUGAAUAACGUCUAGCAGUGCGAAGAAUAGAUCACUGUUUUAUUUCAAUUCUGCUGAGGAUCUUAACCAUAGACUGUAUAUAGAAUGGACGCCGUCUGCCUCCUCGCUGGGUGAAGUCACUCUGAGAACAGCACCCUCUGUUGAUGGGCUAGAGUAUAGGUCAUAAAUCCCGCCUCCGCCAGCAAAGCUUAUGGAGCUGUGGACAAACUUUCAAAAUUUAUUACACAGAACAUACAUUUUUCUCCCCCCUGCUUGUGAUGUUGACAUGCAGUUACAGUAAGACUGGUUUAUGCUCAAGUCUUCUUUUUUUUCUGUACAGCUCCAUUUUUAAAAGUUAUUGGGGGUUCAUGUUUUCUAUGAUUGACACCUGAUACAGCCUAUUGGCGUUCAGGGAUUGCGUAGCUCAACCGGGGGAUACGCUGUUUGAGCCGAGCGUCAUCACAGCGACUCUCAGCGACACUCCCACCGAAUGCGCACAAUGCUACUGGCAACGCUGGUUUCAGGAAAUGAAGAAAAAUCCCGGAAAUACUGAGAGUUUUUUGGCCUCAAAUCCGUAUACAGGCGGGAGGCAGAACCAACUUGUCCAUAGUGUAUACAGUCUAUGAUCUCAACACACUAUUAAGGAUCAGACCCUGUCUCUUUAUGUCCUUUGACUCCGAUCAGUCCUGGAUUUGUGGUCCUGUCCUGAGCCACUGUCUCUGAGGUCAGACUGCACUCUGUUGGUCCUGGUUCACACGUGUUCACUUGGCGUUGGGUGGCUGUGUUUCUGCUGUCUGCUCAAUUGCCUCUACUAUUACCUCACUCUACAUCAGCACCUCCUACAGGGUCCCCACGGUCCUGCUGCUUGUCCAAAGCUCAUAGAAACACUCCCAAAUUAUUGGAGGUCCCAGUCCAAGCAUUGACCGAGCCAACUAACUAACCAAGCUAACUGACUAUUCAGGUUAAUUAAAUAACCUUACAGAAGCUUUGCCAUGGAGCUAAACCGAUCAGAUGAAAAUCAAGGAAAAUGUUCAGCCCGUAUUUGUAGUAAGGCUUCAUCAAAAGGGGAAAAGUAUCAGCUCCUUUCUUCCAACUGACAAGCAAAACUAAAGAGGAAACCUUCGUCAGAAAUUGUCUCAUCAAGGCCAAGAAAAAACAAACAAAGCUGAAGAUGACGUCUGCUGAGGUUUUUAAAAUGACUCUAGAGAAAAGACAAAAAUUAGCUGUGGAUACUAAAGACAAACAGUGUCAAACACACUGCCAGGCCUUCCUCUGAUCACACUGUCAAAAACAAGAAAAUGGAUGCAGAAGCUCUAAAGCCUUCCACUGCUGGGCCAUCAUCAAAACCUUCUCUUGGCAUGUACAAAGGCAAGAUUGUUCAGUCAAAAAUCUCAUCCAUCUGGGAGUCAAGUGCCAGUGUACCUAGUGCAGCUCCCAAACCAUCUGUACCAAAAACAAAGAGCCAAAGGGUUGGAAACAUGACAAAACGCAGGUACAAAUCCAUGGCUGACCAGCCGAAGAAUGACACACAUAAACCAGGUCCAAAUCAGUGUCUGAAAGACCCACUCAAGCCUGAAGUAAACUUUAAAAGACCAGCCAUGAUAGUAGCACAAUCAAAAACCAGUCUUUGUCAAACCCAAAGAACUUUAACCACAGUCUUAGGUUGAGCCUCUACAAGUCAAACAAUACAGCACAGACCCUGAACCCAGUCUGGAGGGUGAGAAACCAAACUCUGCAGCUACACUCUGUGCAGACACUUACGGAGCAGAGGUGACAACACAAAAGCAAACUCCAGCGAUCUCAAACACGACUCUGGACCUGCGGGUGAACUUAGGUAAAAGAUUAGUUGUGAACCUGUGUGGUGCUUUGGAGGCCAUGGGAACAUAUUUCUCAAUGCAGUGAAGAAGUUUCAAAGGUGAAGUUGAAGAGAGCGAACCGAUGGAAGGGUGACACAAAAAGUGGAGCUGAAGAAUAAAAGGCUUGGAGAUGUUAAAGGAAGUUGAGCAAGUGAAGAACGAUGAAGGUGAAGUGGAGAUGGAUGAUGAGGAGACAGGAGAGGGCAAGACUAACUAACCUAUGAGCUUACUAAACCAACUAGCAGAGCAGAGCAAGAUCAUGAACUCAUUAAGGUCACCAGCUGACCAGGCUCAGUAUCUGCCUGUUUUAUGGAGCUGGUUAAAUACUUAUUUUCAGAGGAGAGAACACCAAAGUUAAAGAUGAUCCAGCAGUGAUAUUUAUAAUAAUCUGACACGCAGAAGAGAAAUAUGAAAUGUAAACUAUAUUUAUUGAUAAAGCAAAGAGGAAGAACAUGUGGAACCAGGCUGCUGCUAAAAAUACAUUUGUUUCUUUCAAAAUAAAGUUUAUUUUUCAUCAUUUAUUUGUUUCUUUUCUCUAUGUGGCGUGGGAAAGAGCAGACGAGUGUUUGAUAAAAACAUGAAUGGUCCUGUCAGAAAGCUGCUGACGGAGAGGAGAGGCUUGUCUGCGCUGAUUUAUUUACAGUUUGUUGAUUUAUUUUAAAAAUAAAACUCUACAGUGGAGGUUUAUUUUCAGUCAAAUUAGCUCUCAGAGUGUCCCUGAUACUCUCAGACUCAGAGAGUAAAUAUCUCAGAGCUGAGAGGACUCCUGUCUGACACUAAACACACUGAAACUGCCUGGUUAUUAUUAGAUAUCAUAACCUGAUCAUUGAGUAUACACAGAGGUUAGAGUCUGUGAGAGCUGGUGUAAACACAGUCAAACAGUAAAGUAAACCUGCAGAUAAACUUAACACCUGAAAGCUUUAGAUGAUGUCGAUUAUUCUCUCAUGUUCAAAUCAAACUCUGAAUGUCAUACAGGGGUCAGUGGUUGUUAGUCCAUGUAAUGGCCACAGUUUAACACCAGCGCCCCCUAUUGUACUGCUAACAAUGCAAACCUGUUAGCCUAGUUAUAUCCACAUUGGUUAUCUCUAUUGCAUAGCAGUGCUGUCCAACAGUUACCUGAAUCAUGUUUGAGGGCAUUUUCUGCAGCUUCUUACUGUUCAAAGAGUCACAGAGUCCAAAUGUGAUUCUGCUGUGAUCAGGAUAAACUGCCUGUUGGGUUUAUGAGAAAAUCUGUCUCUUCUCCCUCUGCAGAAACUUAAGUUAUUUAAUGUUAAAACAGAAGGUGGGACAUCGUGAGGGCAGCAGAGAGAGGAACAGAGAGAGGGAAUGUGUCAGUGACUCAAAGAAGAGUUUUCAGAGACUCUGAACAGGCGGGAAUAAGUUUAACUUUAAUUUUCCACCAAAAACACCCUGACCUUUGACCUCUGACUACCAGCUCCUCCUGAACAAUGCCCUGACAGUAACUGUGACACAUUAAAAUUAAUAGAACAAGUGAAAAAUAAUAUAACAAUUCAAUUAUAUUUAUUUAAUUAACUUCAGUUGCCAUCCUAAUACGCUUUCCAAAGAAAAAGAGCAGGUCUAGACCACGCUCAUUGUUUGAUGAAUUAUUAAGACCCAACUGAGAGAUGGGACAGAUUUGGCCCAUCUCAUCUAACAUGAGUAACAGUGGCAAGGGAAAAUUUCCUUUUAACAGGCAGAAACCUUGGGAAGGACCAGACUCAUAUUAGACAGCCACCAGGCCGCUGCUGGGUUGGGGAGAAAUACAGAGAGAGAGAGAGAGAGAGAGAGAGAGAGAGAGAGAGAGAGAACAAGAAAAUAAAAACUGAGUUUAUUUGUAUGUUGGAGUUACAUAAGGUCAGAGGUCAGUCAGUAUUUUUCCUGUUUAUGAAUCAGUGUAAAAAAAAAAGAAGCUGCUGAUACACAUGAAAAGACUUUAUAGAUUGUGUGUGUGGGAUUGUCCAUAAGUGUGUGUUAGUGUGUGUUUCAGGCUGUGUUCAUGUGUAUGACCCACUGUAUAAAGUGAGACAUCCAGCAAAUCUCAGCCUGCAGGACCGGAGUCACACAGCUGCUGCUGCUGCUGCUGCUGAAUGAGUAACUGUAAUAACUUCAAUAAGUGAAUCACACUGUUGGUGCUGUCUUCAUCCUCCAUAUGUCUCUAUCUUGAGUCUCUACCUGCAGGAGGACACGCAGUGUGGACUACAUCAGACUGAAGCUGGGGUUUGACAUACAGACUGGUUGUCUGAUCCAGCCUGUUUAUCUUCCUCCUGCAGCAGGUAAACAGUCUAUAGUGUCUGCAGUAUGAUCCCUGAUGGAUGAUCAUACUUCACUCUGACUUUGCUGUGAACAUGUCCAAGUACUUCAGGUCAGCAGACAGGUACAGGUUUCUCUGCUCAGAGCUUUGUGAGUGAGGAGUCAAGUGUUUAUUAGUGUUAAAUGACCAUGAGUGGAGAGGGUCAACUUUGUUUAUGGUUCUUCAUAACUGGCCAGUGCUCUUCAGCUGUCAGUGUCCAACACAAACUCAUCUGGUCAGUUGUUUCCUCCGCCUCCUCUCAGAUAAACCCUGAACAGUUGAACUUCUGUCCUAAUAUUUAACAGUGUGGUGAGUGUAAUGAACUCUGGUUUUCAGAUUAGGAGAUUAUCCUCUCAUGUUUGAUCACUGUGCUUCUUUAACAUUCAGUAUCUGCUGGUUAAACUCUGUUAGAGUUCAGCAGUCCUCACUGUUAGAGCUCUUUGUUCAGACGAUGUUUCUGAGGUCGCUCCUAGUCUGAAAGAUUAGAUUUAAUCUGAGUGUUUGAGGAUUAGCAGCAGCUUUUCUCCAAACAUCAAAACUGGAAAGUUAUCAGCCAACUCAUCUGCUUUCUAAUUUCUACAAAGAAAGAGGAGGACGUCUAGUAAUAAGCAGUAGAUUUCACAGCCUGAUAGUUUAAGUCGUUUGACUUUAAAGUUCAGAGGGUUUAUUUCCUCACAGAUUAACAUCUACUGCUCUCUUUGAACGUGCUCUGUGUCCAGCUCUGACGCUGUACGGUCAGAGGCCGAAGUUUACACUAAACGCUUCGGGACGAAAAAAGGCGGCCAAGUUUCAGGCUGGAUCGUUGUAAAGAUAGAGUUAUUUAGAGAUAAUUAAAGUCAAUUAGGAGCUCCUAAAGUGGAAAACUGUUUAGAGAAGUGAGGAGGACUUGAAGCGUUUCUGAAG